GACGAACGCUGGCGGCGUGCUUAACACAUGCAAGUCGAACGGAAAGGCCCUGCUUUUGUGGGGUGCUCGAGUGGCGAACGGGUGAGUAACACGUGAGUAACCUGCCCUUGACUUUGGGAUAACUUCAGGAAACUGGGGCUAAUACCGGAUAGGAGCUCCUGCUGCAUGGUGGGGGUUGGAAAGUUUCGGCGGUUGGGGAUGGACUCGCGGCUUAUCAGCUUGUUGGUGGGAUAGUGGCUUACCAAGGCUUUGACGGGUAGCCGGCCUGAGAGGGUGACCGGCCACAUUGGGACUGAGAUACGGCCCAGACUCCUACGGGAGGCAGCAGUGGGGAAUAUUGCACAAUGGGCGGAAGCCUGAUGCAGCAACGCCGCGUGCGGGAUGACGGCCUUCGGGUUGUAAACCGCUUUCGCCUGUGACGAAGCGUGAGUGACGGUAAUGGGUAAAGAAGCACCGGCUAACUACGUG
rnacentral:rRNA from 1 species